rnacentral:rRNA from 1 species
ACUCACGCGGGAAUCUUACCGGGUCCGGACACACUGAGGAUUGACAGACAAAUACACACACUACGGUGUGUGCAUGAAAUAUGCUAGUUCUUUCAUGAUUAUGUGAUAGGUGGUGCAUGGCCGUUCUUAGUUCGUGGAGUGAUCUGUCUGCUUAAUUGCGUUUCACUAAAGGCACAUACACAUAAUAUUGAUGUGUUGUGUGUAUAAUUUAUCAUUAUACGCAUACACACAUAUUAUAUUGUGCUUUGAAAGCAACGAACGUGACCGCAACCUCUUGUUGCCUGUAUAUAUGUGUAUUUUAUACACACCACAGGCUAUUAUAAACUAGAGGGACCGCUGUUACUUUCUUUUAAACCAGAGGAAGGUUGCGGCAAUAACAGGUCUGUGAUGCCCUUAGAUGUUCCGGGCUGCACACGUGCUACAAUGAUCAUUGCAGUGCGCAUCUCAUUUUGUUAUACACUGCUUGUGCGUAUGUGCAUCACAUAUAUUUAUAUGUGUGUGUAUGUAUUGCACGCAGUAAAGCCUACUUCGAAAGUUGUGGGUAAUCAAUUUGAAGUAAUGAUUUCUCCAAAUAUAUACUGCACACUCAUAUACAGUAUCUUAUGUCCACGAAUUUGUAAUUCAUUACAUUUUUGUGUGUGCAUUCGAUGCUCGUAUGUGCAAUUGUCAAUUCAUGGUGGGGACAGACCAUUGUUAAUUGUUGGUCUCGGUCUUAACUAGGAAUGCCUUGUACGGGUCUUUGGUUCAACAAACCACCCG